rnacentral:rRNA from 1 species
CAAUAGCGUAUAUUAAAGUUGUUGCAGUUAAAAAGCUCGUAGUUGGAUUUCUGGUUGAAGCGACCGGUCGGGCGUUGAUUCGUCUGCACUGGAGUCGGUUUUGGCCAUCCUCUAGGAAAGUGCGUCUGGUAUUAAGUUAUCGGGCGUAUGAUCCUGGUCUUUUACUGUGAAAAAAUUAGAGUGUUUAAAGCAGGCCUUCGCCUUGAAUACAUUAGCAUGGAAUAAUAAGAUAGGACUUUGGUCUAUUUUGUUGGUUUGCAGACCGAAGUAAUGAUUAAUAGGGAUAGUUGGGGGUGUUUAUAUUCCGAUGUCAGAGGUGAAAUUCUUAGAUUUUCGGAAGAUAAACUUAUGCGAAAGCAUUUACCAAGGAUGUUUUCAUUAA